ensembl:lncRNA novel transcript
ACAUUCUAAUUCUCCAUGGUUCUGGGACCAGACUGCCCUUCAGUCAGUGGUCUGUGAAUUAAAAGAAUAUUGGCAGAGAAACAGCCCUGGUGUUCCAGCAGGAGCCAAGAGGAACAGGAAAACAAAUGGCAGCAUCCAUGAGACAGCCACUUCUGGUGGUUGCCACUCACCUGGAGAUUCAGCAACAGGUAUCCACGGGGAGAGCCCUACAUCAUCUGCUACCCUGAAGGAUCUGGAGAGCCCGUGCCAAGAACUAGCAGUAGUCCCAGACUCGAGGUCCGUAAAAGUCAGUCAACUGAAGAACACCAUCAAAUCUUUGAAACAACAGAAGAAACAAGUGGAACAUCAGCUGGAAGAAGUAACAUGAUUUCUUUGUUUGCUCGCGACAUGACUGCUCGGUUUGGGGGACACUCAGAUGUAGAGGCCCCGAGUCUCGUCUCACCCACUCCCAGCCUGGGGAAGAAGGCUCACCCCCCAGAGUCCACCCCAUCCCCCACAGGGUCCCUGAUAACCCGGUCCCAUGGGUGGGCCUGUCCCGGGGCAGGGGCAGUGGUGGCAUUCUGGGGACAUGUCUCUUGCAGUACCAUCUCUGCCUCCGCCUGGUUAGAUCUCUGUCUUCCUCUUCCUACAGGAAAAGAAAGCAAACAACGAGAAACAGAAAGCUGAAAGGGGGCUAGAGGUUCAAAUCCAGAGAUUGAACAUACAGAAAGGGAAACUAAAUACGGACCUGUACCACACGAAACGUUCUCUCAGAUACUUUGAAGAAGAGUCCAAGGAUCUGGCCGUCCGUCUGCAACAUUCAUUGCAGCGUAAAGGAGAGUUAGAGCGGGCUCUCUCUGCUGUCACCGCCACACAGAAGAAGAAGGCGGAGAGGUUCUCCAGCCGCAGUAAAGCACGUAUGGAGUGGAAGUUAGAGCAGUCCAUGCGGGAGCAGGCACUGCUGAAAGCGCAGCUGACACAGUUGAAGGAGUCACUUAAAGAAGUCCAGCUAGAGAGGGAUGAAUAUGCUGAACAUCUAAAAGGAGAGAGGGCCCGGUGGCAGCAGAGGAUGAGAAAAAUGUCGCAGGAGGUUUGCUCGUUGAAGAAGGAGAAGAAGCAUGAUAAAAAUCGGGUAGAGACGCUGGAGAGGAGCUUGUCCAAACUCAAACACCAGAUGGCUGAACCCUUGCCCCCGGAGCCCCCAGCAGUGCCCUCUGAGGUGGAGCUGCAGCACCUGAGGAAGGAACUAGAGAGAGUGGCAGGAGCGCUCCAGGCCCAGGUGGAGUACAAUCAGCGCAUAAGUCUCCUGAAUGAGGGGCAAAAGGAGAGACUUCGGGAGCAGGAGGAGAGGCUUCAGGAGCAGCAGGAGAGGCUUCGGGAGCAGGAGGAGAGGCUUCAGCAGCUGGCCGAGCCACAGAACAGCUUCAAGGAGCUGAACAAUGAGAACAAGAGCGUACUACAGUUGGAGCAGCAAGUAAAGGAGCUGCAGGAGAAGCUAGGCAAGGAGCGCCUGGAAGCUGCCAGCCAGCAGAAACAGCAGCUAACGGCCCAGUUGAGCCUCAUGGCUCUCCCUGGGGAAGGACACGGAGGAGAACAUCUGGACAGUGAGGGGGAGGAGGCACCUCGGCCCAUGCCGAGUGUCCCAGAGGACCUGGAGAGCAGGGAGGCCAUGAGCGGCUUUAUGGACCACCUGGAGGAGAAGGCAGACCUGAGUGAGCUGGUGGAGAAAGAAGAACUUGGAUUCUUCCAGUACUACAGAGAGAGAUGCCAUCAGAAAGUUUAUCACCCUAUAACAAAGCCAGGGGGCAGUGCCAAAGAUGCAGCACCGGGAGGAGGACACCAUCAGGCUGGCCCUGGACAGGGAGGAGAUGAAGGUGAAGCUGCUGGAGCUGCAGGAGAUGGUGUUGCAGCUGGUGGCGACUACAAGGGACACAGCAAAUUCUUGGUGACUGCCCAGAACCCUGCUCAUGAGCCCAGUCCAGGAGCCCCAGCCCCCCAGGAGCUUGGGGCUGCCCACAAGCAUGGUGAUCUUUGUGAGGUGAGCCUCACUGACAGCGUGGAGCCUGUGCAAGGAGAGGCCAGGGAGGGUUCUCCCCACGACAAGCCUACUGCACAGCCGAUCGUGCAGGACCACCAGGAGCACCCAGGCUUGGGCAGCAACUGCUGUGUGCCAUUCUUUUGCUGGGCUUGGCUGCCAAGAAGAAGGAGAUAAACAUGACCAUCGUCAAAGAGCUGCUCAAGAAAUUUUUAAAAAAGAAACAAAGUUAUGGGGUUAAUCUCCUACACAAUUCAUUUACUUCGUUUGAAUGUUAUAGCCACUUAUGAUUAUUUGUGUUUCUAAUUUAUAGUUUAAGUUUAUUUGUAAAUAGUUAAAAGAGAGUGGGUCUCUGUGGCUUUCACUGAUGUUCACUCUGGCAUACUUUCGCAAUUUUCUUUUUCAAUUUCAUGAUUGUAGGUUAUUAGCAUGCAUAUUGAGUUUGCCCUUACGUGGUGGGAGUUCAAACACACAAAGACCCACUAUUUGCACAAAACUAUUCUUGCUGGUUUGGAAUAGGCUGCCAUGUGUUUUUAAUGUUAUUGCAGCAUGUAUAUUCAUUACAGAAUUCAGAUAAAAUUUGCCUAUGUUCUGCUAUUGUUUGAUCUAAUCUUAAUCACAGUGAGCUCUUCAUUAGCACAAUAUGUGGUUUGCCCCAAGUGUGCACUAUUUAAUACUUUGUAAUAUGCCACCAAGAGUACUGACAUUUAGAGUUGUUUAAAGGCCGAGAACUGGAAACAGCCUUUCCCUCAUUUUCUGUGUAUUGGUGAUG